ensembl:snRNA U7 U7 small nuclear RNA
AAGCGGCACAGCUCCUCCAGAACCUGUCUAGCAGUCUUUCUGGGUUUUGCUGGAAAGCCCCU